rnacentral:lncRNA from 1 species
CCAGCCUGGGCAAGGACCAGCGGGCACUGGUCAGCGUCCAUGCCCUGCUCUGGAUGGACACCCUGCAGCAGCGGGAGCACCUCCGGGAAUUCCGCAUCCAGUCCCAGGCGUGGUUCAGCACCUCGGCCAUGCCCUACCGCGUCCAGCCCCGGCUCCUGCCCAGCGGCCACGCUGAGGUAGGGCUGCCGUGGCCGUGGGGACACGGGGACAGGGCCGCGGUGGCAGCGGUGUCACCUCCCUGUCCCUCUGCAGACCGAGACGUGCGUGGUGCGCGCCAGCCCUGGCGGCGAGGGGGCUGUGCCGGUGGGGUGGGUGGUGCUGGG